CUCUGAAACCUCCAUGAAGGCCUCUUUGUCAAUCAGCCCUAAGUGAAGACAGUGAACUGCCCAUUGGCAGUUAAUCUGUGAUAGACAUGUAGCAUAAGAGAAAGAAAUGUUAUUAUAUGCUACUGAGAUGUUGGGGGUCAUUUUAUGACAGCAAAACUGAGCUUAAACUGAGGACCUAACUCUAAUCAAGUAAUUCAAUCCAUACCUUUUCCCCAUGUUUCUCUCCCCUUCUCCUCUCUCCAUGUUUCCCUUCCCUCUCCUCCCCCUCUUCUUCUACCAACUUCUUAGACUACAUUUACUGAUUUCUGAGUUUCUCCUUCCUCUAAUAACUCUUUAGAUUUGAGCAGUCCAACAUCCCUUCUUAAAUUUGCUUUUAGCUAUUUCUGUCACUUUCAUUUUUCUUGUAUUUUCAGCCAGAGGCACCAGUUAAUGAUUGAGGUUCAGAUAAAAUCCCUCUGCUACUCAUCUGAUUUGCCCUUUAUUCACCCCACAUUUGUGUCCUGGUGAAAUUAGAUUAAAAUUAACAUCCAGAAACUCUUUGAGUGAGAGAAGAAACCACCACAAGGGAUGAAGGUUGUUUUUAAAGAAGUUAGAAGCUGAUUAUAGGCAUGUAAGUCUCAUACUUUUUUUUUUUUCUCUUUGCAGUAGCUAUCUCCUGAAUCACUGCCCAGUUGCCAGCUGCAAGUCCUAGCUCCACAGACAUAAAUGUCCACAGCACAAAGCCAAAAGAAUCUCUUAAGGGUGAUGCUGUCAGGCAAUAGCAGAAGGAGUUGGUGUUCUGGAGUCAGACACAGUUCACACGAGCUUUGAGAUUAAUUUCAUUGACACAAAGAGAGAAGGCAUUGCUGACUGCCAACAGCAUCACAGGACACCACUGGAAUCUUAUCUGGAAGAUUUACCAAAUCUUGGAGAAAGUGGAACAGGAGUCAAAGAUACAAACUCAACUCAGACUGGUCAAGUAACUGGGAACUUACUGGCUCUCGUAGAUGAGAAGUCUACAACAGAGCAGAUAAGUACUAAUUUUUGGACUAGGUGCCACUUUUCCAGUGAAUCCAGCAAAAGUCCCAAGAUUCACUCUAAUUAAACCAACUUUGUUUACAUACCUAUCCUUGAAUCACUGUUCCCAAAGAAGGGAAAAUACAGUUUUUCCCAGUCUUGGAGUUGGAGUUAAAGUCAUGUUUCUACUUCACUCCAUGCCCAAAAAUAAGUGAAUUGGGAAUAAAGAAAGGAUAUUUUCUAAAGGAUAAUCA
rnacentral:lncRNA from 1 species